rnacentral:lncRNA from 1 species
UAGUCUAUUUGAGGUUUAAAAAGGCUUCUAAAGUUUGUAAUUUCCACUUUAAAAUGUCAAACUUGAUUUAAUGAAAAAUGUAUCAACCCCUACAAAUGUAUUCAAUUAUAAUCCACAUAGUAAUUCACAUUUCUGUUGCUGCAGGAUUAUUUUCCUGCUGUAGCAAACUGCUCAAAUGAAGACCCUACAUCUGUAGAAACAUACGUGUUUCACUGCACCUGUGAAAACAUCUACUGGACACCCCUAUCCCGCCCAGGCGGGGGCACACAUAGUUCCACACCCCGAUGCUCCCACGUCGGAUCUUCUGGCCCACAGCCAGCUCCAGGAAGAAGAGCGGGAUGCCGAUGAGGAUGAGGAGGAUGAAGUAUGGGACGAGGUAGGCACCUGAAAGAAAGUGGUCAAAGUGUUCCUGCUAUAUUCCUUACAAUCGACUAUUAGGUACAUGAGUAGUAUUACAGUAAUAAGAAUUGUGGAAAAUGUGGAAAACCUUCCCUAUGAAAAAAUGCACAAGUUUUGACUGGCUCCCCUGUUGAAUCAAUGAGAGACGUAAUAUUUACUGUUCUCUGAGCUGAUCUAGAACACUAAUUGCACUUAAUUGUGUCUCAUUACAAAGGCUGUGGGGAAGGGGAGAGGUAGACAGACUGGGUGACAGACAGACAAACCCUAUAGUUGGUGGCCAUGAAAUAUCAGGCCCACUCAGUAGGCCAGAGUUCUGAGCCUCAGGAAACGAUGGUGUCUGUCUGUUUGUACUUGACAGUUCUGCAUCACUUCAAUAUGCAAUAGCUUUUUGUUUGCCGACACCUUCGAAAAUGUUAUAUAUUACUCUCUCACCCUGCAAGCCAGAGCCCAUCCAACCAGUGAUUUAAUUGGUUCUUCCCAGCUUAAUCCAGGAGAGGCUUAAUCAGGAUGCUACUGUGUUUGAUGUGCAGUGGGUGAGUCAUCAACAGUAAGAUGCAAAGGCUUACGCUGGAGCACUAUCACUAAUACUCAUCCUUCAGGAAUGCCAGUUACAUAGCCCAGAUCUCAUAAUGGAUUGAAUAUUACAGCACACAAAAAACAAGGUCCUAGAAUGAAGGAAGACAGAAAGAAGUACAAUCAAUCAUGUACGUAGAAUGUAGUUCAGG